UGCUAUUACUGGAGUGAGCCAGCUAAGCCAAACAGACUGCUGAUGGUGAGGAGACUUAUGUUACAAAAGUCUUUAGGGUUGCUUCUCAACUAGCUCUAAACGGAGUCCUUGGUGGCUGACAUGAGGAAUCACCAUGAGAACAGCUGGGACUCAUUGACCAAUGGCAGCUGGAUGACCCACAGUCGCCAUCCACUGAAUCCUUCCAGAAACACCUGCACGUGGAGGCAGGUGUUGCUGUCUCCCCAUUUUGCAGGUGAGAAAAUGCAGCCCAGGGAGAUGGCGGGAUGUGGGGAGCCGGGAAUCCCCCUCAACUCGUCUCCAAGGCUCCUGGCACAGCUCCGGGCCAGUGCAAGAGAGAAAACUCCUGAGCGGCAUAUCCCAGCUCGUCCUGUGGGGUAGGAAGGAAAGGCUCCAGACACAAUUAGAAGUGCUUCAGAGCGAGUGGAACGUUCUCAGGAAAUGUAUUAUCAUUAGAGCUGGCCGCUUGCCUCGCUGGAUGGGGAGAGGGUGUGCAUGUGCGUCUAUGGUGCAUGCGCUCACCGUGCAACGUCCUAUAUGAAGUCCUUCUCCUCACAAAAAAGUAAAAAAUUGGGCUCGCUUUCUUGCGUGAACUUUUUUUCCUGCCGUGUUUCUAAGAGAAUCAGAGAGGUUGCCGAACCAAAGGGCAGGAGCUAGGUGUAGCUGGUUAAAGAAGGUCUCUGAUUGCCUUGUAGAUUCAGAAACUUCCCUUAAGCACCUCGUGCCUCAGUUUCCCCAUCUCCAAGUGGUCUGAGAAUAGAGAGGAGGGAAUUGCUUGGAG
rnacentral:lncRNA from 1 species